AAGGAGGCAAUGGCAAAUCACUUCUGAAAUCUUGCCAAGAAAACUUCAAGGAUUUGUCCAGGAGUCAACAAUGAUUCAAAAGGAGUGGAGAAAUUUGGAGAAGUUCCCAGUUUGUAGGGGAUUUCAUGAACUUGUUGAAUGGGUACGUGAGCAGUGUGUCUUUCCCUGAACAAUCAUCUCGUAAAAGACAAAUGAAGGAGAGGGAAAAAAGAAAAAAAAAACAAGAAGGACUUGGUGAAGAAUUUCCCUAAACUGGAUCUUCUACAGACAUGCGUGCAAUUUACCUCCCAAAAUUCCCAGUCAGCACAGUCAUUGUUGAGAAUGCUGGGAAAUGAAAUCAGCAUAUCAGAAGAGCGUCCAAGUUGAGAAAAGCUUGGUAUAAAAAAUAGCCGGAGCUAUGAAAACUUCAUGUUUUUCACAGGACUUUAAAUUUUCCAUCAGGAAAAAAUGGAAUUGUGCUUAAAAGAAAUAAAUAAGUUUUUACCAGUU